rnacentral:rRNA from 1 species
GACGAACGCUGGCGGCGUGCUUAACACAUGCAAGUCGAACGGAAAGGCCUGCUUUCCCUUGUGGAUUGCGGGUACUCGAGUGGCGAACGGGUGAGUAACACGUGAGUGAUCUGCCCCCAACUUGGGUAUAAGCCUGGGAAACUGGGUCUAAUUCCCGAUAGGACUGCAGGGUGGUGCCUGUGGUGGAAAACGAUUUUCUAGUGGUUGGGGAUGAGCUCGCGGCCUAUCAGCUUGCUGGUGGGGUAAUGGCCUACCAAGGCGGCGACGGGUAGCCGGCCUGGGAGGGUGGGCGGCCACAUUGGGACUGAGAUACGGCCCAGACUCCUACGGGAGGCAGCAGUGGGGAAUAUUGCACAAUGGGCGGAAGCCUGAUGCAGCGACGCCGCGUGGGGGAUGACGGCCUUCGGGUUGUAAACUCCUUUCGACCGCGAGGAAGCCACCUGGUUGGAAGGGUGGUGACGGUAGUGGUAGAAGAAGCACCGGCUAACUACGUG